CAACUUUCAACAACGGAUCUCUUGGUUCUGGCAUCGAUGAAGAACGCAGCGAAAUGCGAUACUGUAGUGUGAAUUGCAGAAUUCAGUGAAUCAUCGAAUCUUUGAACGCACAUUGCGCCCUUUGGUAUUCCAAAGGGCAUGCCUGUUCGAGCGUCAUUU
rnacentral:rRNA from 1 species